AGUGAACGCUGGCGGUAGGCCUAACACAUGCAAGUCGAACGGCAGCACAGUAAGAGCUUGCUCUUACGGGUGGCGAGUGGCGGACGGGUGAGGAAUACAUCGGAAUCUACUUUUUCGUGGGGGAUAACGUAGGGAAACUUACGCUAAUACCGCAUACGACCUACGGGUGAAAGCAGGGGAUCUUCGGACCUUGCGCGAUUGAAUGAGCCGAUGUCGGAUUAGCUAGUUGGCGGGGUAAAGGCCCACCAAGGCGACGAUCCGUAGCUGGUCUGAGAGGAUGAUCAGCCACACUAGAACUGAAGCACGGUCCAGACUCCUACGGGAGGCAGCAGUGGGGAAUAUUGGACAAUGGGCGCAAGCCUGAUCCAGCCAUACCGCGUGAGUGAAGAAGGCCUUCGGGUUGUAAAGCCCUUUUGUUGGGGAAGAAAAGCAGCAGGUUAAUACCCCGCUGUUCUGACGGUACCCAAAGAAUAAGCACCGGCUAACUUCGUG
rnacentral:rRNA from 1 species